AAAGCAGGCAGAAGAACAUGGAAGGACCCGACUUGCUGUCUCUCGGCCUUCAUCUUUCUCCCGUGCUGGAUGCUUCCUGCCUUCGAACAUCGGACCCCAGGCUCUUCAGCCUUGGGACUGUUGGACCUUCAGCCACAGACUGAAGGCUGGACUGUUGGCUUCUGAGGUUUUGAAACUCGGGCUGGCUUCCUUGCUCCUCAGCUUGCAGACGGCCUAUUGUGGGACCUCACCUUGUGAUUGUGACAGCUUGGACCCAGGGGGCUCCCACCUGCUGGAGGCUGGAGGUGGGCAGCAGCCGCCGGAGGAACCAGCCCCACACAGGACCAGCCGACUGCAUGAAGGACGCUUCUCAUCCCAUCACUUCCUUUUUAAUCAACCAGCCCCGUGCUGGCUGGAAUGCCCCUCUGGGGGCAGAUGUCUGCAGUGCCCUUUCAGAAGCCAGCACAUUUGGGAGGAACCGGAAUCUGUCACUGGGCACCGACAUUGUUCACUGCUGGAGGCCAAGCUGCUGAAAAUGUAAAUUUCUAAUUAAAAUAGAAAUUAAUCCUCUCUCCCAACUACCUGCUAUCUUCAGCUGGAUGAGCAAAAGUUUUAUGCUGCUAAUUAAUGUUAUCACCCGGAAGCUUUAUUUACAUAAGCAGAUAGAAUUCACACGGCUUUGCAGGAGCUGAUGGAGAAAGUAAAAAAAAAAAAAAAAAAAAAUUAAGUUAAAAAAUUAAUUACCUUGAUCCUCCGUCUUGUAUUCUAAUCACACACUGGCAGAGGUCCCUCUUCGGCUUUCCCCAAAACCCACCGUUGGUGCUUUCUUUGAUGAACCGGGCACUCGUUCCAAAUGCAGAGAGAAAAAGUUGAAAAUUGCCACGAGCGGCUCAGAGAAAGGAAGAGCAGUCGCUGGCACAUGGAAGGCCCGAUGGAUGGGAAAAUUAUUUACCGUUCCUGGCGUCGGAUGUUUUUGUUACCCAGCUAAGUAGAUUCUAAAUUUCAAAUUAAGAUCUUGAAAAGUUCCUGGCAGAUUAAUAAAUCACACUAACUGCU